UUAAGUACAGCUAUUUAUAAGAACCAGGCAGAAAUGAAAAUAAGUGAUUCAUGAUAGUGAUAGAUUUUUCAAAAACUAUCAUACUUACAUUAAGAUACAUCAAACUAAAUACUUGAUCACAGUUAUAAAUGGAUUUCAUGCAUAGUUGAUUAAAAAAUUAAUUUAAUAGAUAUUGAAACAGUCAACAAUAUCCAUUGAAAGGUGUCUGUACGUGCAGGUGAUUUUUUAAGAAGGCCAGCACUCUCCUUGAAUGUGAAUUAUAAGAUAUUGAACAUCUAGUAUCAAAGAGUAAAAAACAAUUAAAAAACCCAUGGGUUAUUUUAAUUACGAAUAGAUAUUGUGAUUUUAAAUUAUGUAAAAACAUGAAAUUCUAGUUAUCUCCCUUGGCACUCUUUAGUAAAAGGAGUUGGAAAGAGUGUAAUUUAACUCUUCAGUUUAGAAGGUGAGGAUUAAGAAAUGUGUGUGAUUUCAUCUUCAUUUUGGAAGUUUUGCCGGUUUUUAUACAUCCAAGGGGCAUGUAAGUCAAAAAUUUUUAUUAGAAAAAUAUAAGCCUAUGAUAAAAAAAAAUAACUGCCUGCAAUUUGGUUAAUUUUAUCUGACAAAAACAAGAUUUUAUUUCCUAAACAUGCUAAAUGAGAACAGAGUUUGAGUGUUUUGAAAAAGGCUAACUUAUUUAACAAUAACAUCAAAACUACUUAAAUCAGUUAAUUUGGGGGAAAAAACAUUUAAUUUUGUACUGGAAUUUGAACAGUAGCUCGCUGCUGGGGAUUACAGUAUGAUGAGUAUCUCUCCUUUCCGUCGAUACUCCCUUAGUGCUGCAAUAUACACAGUCGACUGGAAGAAGUCCUCGACCUCAGCAUACAUGAAGUCAUAGCAAGAAGCAGUGAAAGCCACAGCAGAGAUUGGAUGGAGCAUAAUUUUUUCUAUGUCUCGGCGCCUCUAUGGAUCUCAUAUUUAGAUCAGAUGCAAUCUGAGCCUUGUUCUGAAUUUCAAAAUCCCCUUUGACAACACCUGCACAGCUGAGGUAAUGUAAAUUUAAAAAUUGAGGACAACCGUCACCAAGAAAAGAUUAUCAAUUCAACUAACCAAUCAAGGACCUUCUGACUAAUGGCUGAAUUAUAGUGAACACUGCCAUUCAGAGACUUUGAAACAGAUUGAUGAAUGAACCACAUGCAUUAUAUCAGAGGAAAUUAGCUGGAGCACCUACUUAGCAGCCAGGACACAUAGAUGUAUGAUACAGAUAAUCUCAACAGCACAUUUCUAAAUGAUGGCCAAAAAAAUCUAAUAAAGACACUGGCAGUUUAAAACUUUUUGAAAGAAAUCCAGACAAGAAACAAAUGAUAUUGAUUUUUAAGCUCCUCCAAAUGUAAAAGGGGUUUUAUUGAAACCAAGACCAGGAUACACUCAAGGACAUUGAAUAUUACACCCCUUCAACAUAAAAUUUUGAAUUUUUGUUUGCCUAUCUAGUCAAGAACAUGGAUUUUUUGACAUUUGAUACACUUUAUAAUGUUAUAUUGACAUUUUUUCAAGAUUUCUUUACUGUAAACAAUAUAUAUUUCAGCAAAAAAUACAUUUACAGAUGACUUUUCAAAAAUUGCUUUAAAAAUACAAUUGAAAUAUUUAGAUCAUGUCUCAUAAAUGGUUAAUCACAGUUACCACAGAAACCAAAUAUUUGUUUAAAAUAAGUAAGGUACAAAAAAAAUGUUGUGUCUUUCAAUAUUUUAGCUAAUGGCCACUCGUACAGUUUUCUUCAUACAAGCUAAUCACAUUGGCUAAAUUGUAUAGGCAAAUACAAUAUUUUUGGAGAUGUUGUCAUGGUAACCAGAUACAAAUCACAAAAGCAUAUUUAAAAAAUAUAUAUUUUCAUGCAUUUACAAUAAACUGUGAAAAUAAUACAUGUAUGUUAGUCAAUAAUUAUUUUGUAUUUUAUGGAGAUUUUGUAAAGACAAUUUAUUUAAAAAAGCAUUUCCAGAAGAAUUUGUUACCAUGGAUACAAAAAUUUAUGAGAAAUCCACUGGUUUUAUCUAAUAUUUGCAAGGUUCUAUCUUAUAUUAUCAUUUUUUUGGUAUUUUUUCCACAACAUACUCUGAAAAUGAUGUAUUUUGGUACUUUCUUGAAAAAUGAAUUUUUGUGAUAUUCUGUUGCCAUGGUUACAGAAUAUUUUUGACAAACCCAUAGGUUUUGUUUUGUUUUAUUAGAAUUCAGAAUGUGGUCUUUCUAUCCCAUGCUUUCAGUUUUCUAUAACAUGUGGGAUUUUCUCUAACUGUGCUCUUAAAAAUGGAUAUUAUUGUGAAAAAUGAAUUUUUGUGACAUUUUGUUACCAUGGUAACAGAAUAUUAUUUAAAAACCCAUGGGUUUAAUUUAAUUUUAUUGAAAUUAAGAAAGUGCUCUUUCUAUUCCACAUAAUCAGAUUUCUUUAACAUGUGGGAAUUUUUCUUACUAUGCUCCUAAAAACGGUUAUUAUUGUGAAAAAUGAAUUUUUGUGACAUUUCGUUGCCAUGGUAACAGAAUAUUUUUUAAAAACCCAUGGGUUUUAUUUAAUUUUAUUAAAAUCAAGAAUAUGCUCUUUCUA